ACAGACGGAAACGACUGCUAAUACCGAAUAAGUUCCAAGAGCCGCAUGGCCCAUGGAAGAAAAGGUGGCCUCUACCUGUAAGCUAUCGCCUGAAGAGGGGUUUGCGUCUGAUUAGCUGGUUGGAGGGGUAACGGCCCACCAAGGCGACGAUCAGUAGCCGGUCUGAGAGGAUGAACGGCCACACUGGAACUGAGACACGGUCCAGACUCCUACGGGAGGCAGCAGUGGGGAAUCUUCCGCAAUGGGCGAAAGCCUGACGGAGCAACGCCGCGUGAGUGAUGACGGCCUUCGGGUUGUAAAACUCUGUGAUCCGGGACGAAAAGGCAGAGUGCGAAGAACAAACUGCAUUGACGGUACCGGAAAAGCAAGCCACGGCUAACUACGUGCCAGCAGCCGCGGUAAUACGUAGGUGGCAAGCGUUGUCCGGAAUUAUUGGGCGUAAAGCGCGCGCAGGCGGCUUCCCAAGUCCCUCUUAAAAGUGCGGGGCUUAACCCCGUGAUGGGAAGGAAACUGGGAAGCUGGAGUAUCGGAGAGGAAAGUGGAAUUCCUAGUGUAGCGGUGAAAUGCGUAGAGAUUAGGAAGAACACCGGUGGCGAAGGCGACUUUCUGGACGAAAACUGACGCUGAGGCGCGAAAGCGUGGGGAGCAAACAGGAUUAGAUACCCUGGUAGUCCACGCCGUAAACGAUGGAUACUAGGUGUAGGAGGUAUCGACCCCUCCUGUGCCGGAGUUAACGCAAUAAGUAUCCCGCCUGG
rnacentral:rRNA from 1 species